ACACUGGUGGUGAAGUGGAAUCACAAUUGGUGUACCCUCGGUCCCAAGAGUCGAAGGUUCGAAUCCCUCCCAGUGUU